rnacentral:rRNA from 1 species
GACGAACGCUGGCGGCGUGCUUAACACAUGCAAGUCGAACGGAAAGGCCCUGCUUUUGUGGGGUGCUCGAGUGGCGAACGGGUGAGUAACACGUGAGUAACCUGCCCUUGACUUUGGGAUAACUUCAGGAAACUGGGGCUAAUACCGGAUAGGAGCUCCUGCUGCAUGGUGGGGGUUGGAAAGUUUCGGCGGUUGGGGAUGGACUCGCGGCUUAUCAGCUUGUUGGUGGGGUAGUGGCUUACCAAGGCUUUGACGGGUAGCCGGCCUGAGAGGGUGACCGGGCCUCUUGGGGCUGAGGUUCGGCCCAAGCCCCCGAGGGGGGCCGAGGGGGGGGAGUGUUGCAAGGGGGGGGGACGCUGUGUCCGCCACCCCCGGGUGCGGGAGGAGGGCCUUGGGUUUAAAACCCCUUUCCCCCGGUACCAGGGGGUGGGUGGGGGGAAGGUAAAAAAAAGCCCCGCCUAACUCCGUG